UACGGGGGGGGCAAGCGUUGUUCGGAAUUACUGGGCGUAAAGGGCUCGUAGGUGGCCAACUAAGUCAGACGUGAAAUCCCUCAGCUUAACUGGGGAACUGCGUCUGAUACUGGAUGGCUUGAGUAUGGGAGAGGUAAGCGGAAUUCCUGGUGUAGCGGUGAAAUGCGUAGAUAUCAGGAGGAACACCUGCGGUGUAGACGGCUUACUGGACCAUAACUGACGCUGAGGCACGAAAGCGUGGGUAGCAAACAGG
rnacentral:rRNA from 1 species